GACGUAGGGCGCGAGCGUUGUCCGGAUUUAUUGGGCGUAAAGAGCUCGUAGGCGGCUUGUCGCGUCGACUGUGAAAUCCCGCGGCUCAACUGCGGGUCUGCAGCCGAUACGGGCAGGCUAGAGUUCGGUAGGGGAGACUGGAAUUCCUGGUGUAGCGGGGAAAUGCGCAGAUAUCAGGAGGAACACCGGUGGCGAAGGCGGGUCUCUGGGCCGUAACUGACGCUGAGGAGCGAAAGCAUGGGGAGCGAACAGG
rnacentral:rRNA from 1 species